rnacentral:rRNA from 1 species
AGAGAUGCUUUGGUGCCUUUCGGGAACUCUGAGACAGGUGCUGCAUGGCUGUCGUCAGCUCGCGUUGUGAAAUGUUGGGUUAAGUCCCGCAACGAGCGCAACCCUUAUCCUUUGUUGCCAGCGGUUAGGCCGGGAACUCAAAGGAGACUGCCAGUGAUAAACUGGAGGAAGGUGGGGAUGACGUCAAGUCAUCAUGGCCCUUACGAGUAGGGCUACACACGUGCUACAAUGGCGCAUACAAAGAGAAGCGACCUCGCGAGAGCAAGCGGGACCUCAUAAAGUGCGUCGUAGUCCGGAUUGGAGUCUGCAACUCGACUCCAUGAAGUCGGAAUCGCUAGUAAUCGUGGAUCAGAAUGCCACGGUGAAUACGUUCCCGGGCCUUGUACACACCGCCCGUCACACCAUGGGAGUGGGUUGCAAAAGAAGUAGGUAGCUUAACCUUCGGGAGGGCGCUUACCACUUUGUGAUUCAUGACUGGGGUGAAGUCGUAACAAGGUAAGCGUAGUGCU